rnacentral:rRNA from 1 species
UACAGAGGGUGCGAGCGUUAAUCGGAAUUACUGGGCGUAAAGCGCGCGUAGGCGGCUUUGCAAGUCGGGUGUGAAAUCCCCAGGCUUAACCUGGGAACUGCAUUCGAGACUGCAUUGCUAGAGUAUGGGAGAGGGAAGUGGAAUUUCCGGUGUAGCGGUGAAAUGCGUAGAUAUCAGGAGGAACACCGGUGGCGAAGGCGGUUCUCUGGGCAUUACCUGACGCUGAGGAGCGAAAGUGUGGGGAGCGAACAGG